AAUGCUAUAGUUUAAUUGGUAAAAACGAUACCCUCAUAAGGUGUAGUUGAGGGUUCAAUUCCCUCUGGCAUUA
rfam:Monosiga brevicollis mitochondrion, complete genome.